rnacentral:rRNA from 1 species
UACGACGGCGGCUAGCGUUGUUCGGAAUUACUGGGCGUAAAGCGCACGUAGGCGGAUUAGUAAGUCAGGGGUGAAAUCCCGGGGCUCAACCUCGGAACUGCUUUUGAUACUGCUGAUCUCGAGUCCGGAAGAGGUGAGUGGAAUUCCUCGUGUAGAGGUGAAAUUCGUAGAUAUUAGGAAGAACACCAGUGGCGAAGGCGGCUCACUGGUCCGGUACUGACGCUGAGGUGCGAAAGCGUGGGGAGCAAACAGG